CAGAUCUGCGGCAGAAGAACUCAAGGAAUACAACAAAAUCAAGAGAGUGCCUUCCCGGGUCGACCAGCCCAAUGCCCAAGCAGGAGCAGCUCAGCUGGGAACACUUUGUGGCCUGGGCAGGGGGAGGAGCAGAGGGCCCCCGGCAGUGCAGCCUGGGAAAGGGGCUGGCAGCCUCCAAGACAGAGGAAGGCCCUACCCUCUGCUCUAGCUUUUGUGGAGAAAUGUGUGUUAGUUGUUCAGUCAUGUCCGACUCUAAGACCCCAUUGACUGUAGCCCACCAGACUGCUCUGUUCAUGGAAUUCUCCAGGCAGAUUGUUUACCCAAAUGAACACUGAUUCACAACGCUGCAAGUCUAAAAUGGGAACUGUGGACAUUCUGCUGCUGCUGUGUCCGACUCUGUGCAACCCCAUAGACAGCGGCCCACCAGGCUUCCCCGUCCCUGGGAUUCUCCAGGCAAGAACACUGGAGUGCGUUGCCAUUCUGGAAGAUGCUAAAAGAAACAUUCCUCUCUCUUUCAUUCUUCACUCCCUCUUUACUCUUCACUACUCUUCAAGGGCAGAGGAGGGACCACCUGACAUGCCUAGGAAAAUUCAAGGUAAGCUCAGGGCGCUCGGCUGCCCAGGUAAACACCAGAGUAUCCAGCCUCCCUGCCAGGUUGGGGGAUCGCCAGGCAGCUGUGUGCUCAGGGACCCCCAUUCCCACACCCAUGAAGUCCUGGUUGUGUGAGUUCCGUUCCCCCGGGUGGCUAUGGAAG
ensembl:lncRNA